rnacentral:rRNA from 1 species
GAACGCGAAGAACCUUACCAGGUCUUGACAUCCCUCUGACCACUCUAGAGAUAGAGUUUUCCUUCGGGACAGAGGUGACAGGUGGUGCAUGGUUGUCGUCAGCUCGUGUCGUGAGAUGUUGGGUUAAGUCCCGCAACGAGCGCAACCCCUAUUGUUAGUUGCCAUCAUUCAGUUGGGCACUCUAGCGAGACUGCCGGUAAUAAACCGGAGGAAGGUGGGGAUGACGUCAAAUCAUCAUGCCCCUUAUGACCUGGGCUACACACGUGCUACAAUGGCUGGUACAACGAGUCGCAAGCCGGUGACGGCAAGCUAAUCUCCUAAAGCCAGUCUCAGUUCGGAUUGUAGGCUGCAACUCGCCUACAUGAAGUCGGAAUCGCUAGUAAUCGCGGAUCAGCACGCCGCGGUGAAUACGUUCCCGGGUCUUGUACACACC